AGGGAGCAGACGCGCCGGCAGCCAACGGGGCGACGACGGGGCCGGACCGGUGAGCGCGCGCGAAAAGCACACCGCGAACACACGAUAUUGCACAACAAACGACAAUGUUAUAAUGCACAGAGGGACGCGUCCCCCGUCCGGUCGAAGGACUUGGAAGAGACAGAAGAAAAAAAAAAAAAAAUAAAAAACCGAAAACCGAAAACCGAUCGGAGUAAUAGUGUUUACAAAAUGGUGAUUGAUGAUGUCGUGUUUGAAACGAACCGCGCGCGCAGGCGCUCCGGACGAUCGGGACGCGGACGUGCGUGUGCGUAGUAUUUUACGUGCGCGCGCGUGUAGGUAACACACACUUGCACAACACUACCGGCGGCGGUGCCGAACGCGUAUGUUCGACGGCGACGUUCGUAAUAUUAAUAUUGUGUGCGUACCGACCGCGUACGUACGCGCGCGCGCGCGCGCGCGUGCCCGUUGUACAUUAGCCGGCCGCCGCGUUACGACCGGAGUAGUGGGCCUCCCACCGACAACGCGUGGCCGCAGCUGCUCGGG